UACGAAGGGGGCGAGCGUUGUUCGGAAUUACUGGGCGUAAAGGGCGCGCAGGCGGCUCAUGAAGUCAGGUGUGAAAGCCCCGGGCUCAACCUGGGAAUUGCACUUGAUACUCGUGAGCUUGAGGACGGGAGAGGAGAGUGGAAUUCCCAGUGUAGAGGUGAAAUUCGUAGAUAUUGGGAAGAACACCGGUGGCGAAGGCGGCUCUCUGGACCGUAACUGACGCUGAGGCGCGAAAGCGUGGGGAGCAAACAGG
rnacentral:rRNA from 1 species